rnacentral:tRNA from 2 species
GCUCCGGUAGAGUAACGGUUUAUCUCACUGGUCUCUCACACCAGAGAUUGCGGGUUCGAAUCCCGUCCGGAGUAC